GGGCCAAGACCAAAAUCUCACAGCCCAAUUUUUUCCCAUUGAUCUUCUAUGAUCGCACGGCCCGAAAUUGACCCUCAUCUCCCAUAUAAGUGUCUAACCCCACCCCCAAACCCUAGAGACCCCCUCCCCCACUUUUCUUCGUCUCAUUCACUAUAACCUAAAACCAUAGCCGCCCUAAUUCUCCAUCCCCUCCCACCAACCGCCGCCCACCGGAAAUUGCCUCACGGUGGCGGCGAUGCUCCAAACUCUCCCAAAUUAACCCCAUGCAAUCCUCAUUCCCUCCUCUUUCUAAAUCCAUCAAUAGUUCUCCCAAAAGCCCUACCUAUUUUCUUCAAAUCCGGAUCUAAAAAACUGAAAACCCUAAAUUUCCCCCUUCUCUAGUUGUUGUCACUCCCUAGCCGCUCGUUUUGACCUAGAACCUACAUCAAUGGAUUGUUCUUGACAAGAACAAUCACUUGACGUUGGUUUUUGUUCAUUCCAAAUUCGCGAGGAAUCUGCUUUCAAUCUGUCUUUCUCUUUUGGGGUAUUCACUUGUCCUUCUUGUCUUGCUUUGUUGCUUUAAUUGUUCUAAGGAAAGUUAAAGAAAAAGAGAAGAAAAACAGUUGUUAUUUUAAUUAAGAUUUUAUGUUUAAUUACUGUUUCACUUAGUUUUUUUUUAAUUAUUGUUCUGUUUAAUACCGUUUAAUUUCCUGCUUUUGUUAAUGAACAAGUUAGCUUAUAGUUAAUUAGUAUUAAUUAGUUCAAUCAUGUUCUAAACUUUCAGCAUUCAUAAUUUUACAGUUGUUUGUCAUUCAAUAUUUGGUUUGUAUGAGUUUGGGCUUCUGUGUGUCGCUGGUUUGGACAGUAGAAGGCCAAUUUGUUUGAACCUAAACCUUUGGUCAGUUGGCCCAAUAAUUGGUAUUGUUGGAAAGUAAAUACAAGGGUAUUGGGGGGUUAAAUUGGGGCUUUUGACUUGAAGAACAUUUUCUGUUAUGACAAAAGAAGAGUCUAGAAGAUAAGGUAAGGUUUUAUUCAAAUAAAAUAAAAACAUCUCAGCUGUUUUUGGGGUCUAGAGGGGUAAAACAAAAGCUUGAAGGGUAAAAUUGAAUGAAAAAACCAGAUAUAUGGUUGCCCUAGAAUACUCAUAUAAAGGGCUCAUUUCACUCACUUUGAGAGCAGAGAAAAACAUAGAAAAAAGAAGAAAAAGACUGCAUACAUAGAAAUAGAAGUUUUCAUAAAAAACAAAGAAAAUGGUUGGAUUUCAGUUCUGAUAUCGAAUUUUUCACUUCAUUUCUUUCUGGAUUUCUGGAUUUGUCAUUUGUUGUGUAGCUGGGAUAUUGAAGCUGUUUUCCUGGUAUUUCUACCGUUUAGACUUGUUGAAUCUCUCCAUUUUUGGCCUUUUUAGCCUUUAUUUGGCAAAAUCCAGUUUUUGUUUACAAAUCUAGGUGCACCUCUCACUCUUGUACUUCUAUUUUCAAUUUGAGAUGAAAUGUUUGGUUGUUCUUUGUUUGUCUGUUGAGGUGGUGUAAAUUAUUGCUUAUCUUGUCUUGAAUCUUGAAUUAAUGUGAGCUUAAUAUGUUUAAGGAUGGAAACUUGCUUUUAGAUUUGCCUUUGAAAAAGCAACUACAGGUAACUCUAUGGCCAUAACAUUAAUUGAUUUCCCACAUUAAUUUAGACUUCAACAUGUGUAUCCUUCUAACAAAUACUCGUUGCUUAUAUUUGAACAUUAUAAAAAAUCUAAAUCUGUUUCAUAGCUUCUUGAUAAGUUGAGGUUCAGUGGAUCAUUUGCAGGUCAGUACUUGUGGAUCUAGCCACUCGUUGGUUCGAUUUGCAGUUCAAGGCAUGAGCAAAGUUACACCUCUAUCACAUUUUCGUGGUUUGGGUCUGUUAUACUUUAAAUAUUAUCUAGGAUUUGAUCAUGUGAAGCUUGGGCAUUCUAUAAUGAAGGAUGGGCGUGUGAUUUUGAGCCUAUAGUUGUGUAUUUUAUAAAUGGCAGUAUAUGUGUUUAGAUGUCCAUUCAAAAAACUUAUUUGUACAGUUAUUCACCUAUUGUAUUAAAGUUAUUGUACUAUUUAGUCUUGUCUUCUACUAAUAAUUUAGAUGUUGUAACAGCCAAGGCAAAAAAAUUAGGAGUUAGAAGCAUUAGUCAAGUCUGCUUGAUUGCUCUUUCUAAUAUAAAGUGUGUGUUUGUGUUAAAUAGCAUAGGUGUUAGUGUCCUGACUUGAUGCCAUUUUGAUAUUUCUGUAAAAAUCAAUUAUGCUCCCUCGGGAAUUGGAUCAGAGGGUUUCGUUUGAAGCCUUGCAUUUUUGGGGUUAGUGUAUGCUACUAGUUUGAAGUAGUGAAAAACAAAAGGCAUUUUUUUAACUUGAAAGGGCAGAUCUUGAGUGGUUUCAUGGAUUCGUAAAGUAAGCCUUGUAUGACGUUUAG
rnacentral:lncRNA from 1 species